rnacentral:rRNA from 1 species
ACUCCUACGGGAGGCAGCAGUGGGAAUUUGCACAAUGGGGAACCCUGAUGCAGCGACGCCGCGUGAUUUAGAAGGCCUUCGGGUUGUAAAUCUUUGUAUAGGAAGAAAUGACAGUACUAUACGAAUAAGGUCCGGCUAAUUACGUGCCAGCAGCCGCGGUAAUACGUAAGGACCGAGCGUUGUCCGGAAUCAUUGGGCGUAAAGGGUACGUAGGCGGGUCAUUAAGUUAGAAGUCAAAGGCUAUAGCUCAACUAUAGUAAGCUUCUAAAACUGGA